AAAAAAAAGGGACAGACGAAAUGACAAAAACAAAACCUUUCGACAACUUUUCGUCUUCCAGAAUCCUUCCGAAUUCUGCAAAGCAGCCCUUCUCGCCAAACACUUACGGAUCUAGCACGGAAGGAACGAAAGUAGAAUUUCCCAGACCAUACAGUCUUCUAAAAUAAUUUUGCAUGAUGAGAAAAGUCAUUCUUAAGCAGAGUUUGACUUUGAAGAUACCAAAAGAUGCAUCCGGGAGCAGCUUUAGGUUUUCACCUUACAGAAUUAGACUUUUCCAUUUUAUACUGGACACCAACUCGAUUCAAGGACUGUUAACAAGCAGCUCAAGUGAAAUGUAUGUACGCUGGAUGAAAAUGCGUGAAUAACUUGGGUUCGGUUGGAUUCUUUGUUUAGUAUUAACAAUUACCUGAUAUUGGAGAUAACUUACUCUAAGGCUCAUGAAGAGGGUAAAUUGAAAUGUACUGUUAUGGGGGCGGGUAGAAUUGGUUGAAAGGAAGUGACUGACGAUUUAGGAUUGAAACAGGAAAAUGACAGCACCAAUCAGGAAUGUUUUCUUAUUUCCUUGACACGGAUAGAACAAAGCAGGCAACAAUAAGCCAGACCUCUUUCUGUCAAAAGUACCAUUUUCAUUUUCAUUAAAUGCAGAUCAAUUUCCCUUCUUGACCACCAGAAUCUGCAAAUAAUCAGCUAUUUUAUCAGUUCCAAAAACAAUGCUUCUCGGAUAUGACCCAAAGCAUUGAGACCAAGUUAUUAGAAUGGUGAAUUUCAAUUCCAAUCAUCCCCUGAUCCUUUGAUAAAAAUAAUCAGAAAGCCUUGCAUCUGAGGACAUGUCAGACAGCAUAUUGAGGUAGCUAUGUGCAUGUGUAGGUGUAAUGCAUUGAAUUUGGAACAACAAAGGAACUGCAUGAAGGUGAAGAUCAGAUGCUCAGUUACUUUACAAAUGCUCAACGUGAAAUAGUCAAUUGCCUCGGGAGAGUGAGAGUACUUUUAAUGAGAAUAAUGAUUUAGUUAAAUCAACUCAGUACAUAAUUACAUUGUCAGUAUCGAUUGGAGGAAUUGAAAUUAAAGUGAGUCAUAGAAAUUGGAUUUCAAAUUUGAGUUGGGUUGCUUUGUCUUAACAAUGAAAUUGGGACAGUUAUCUCUCUGGAUUAAUAAUUCAUAGGCCCUGCUUUAUGCUGUGGAAAUUUGGUUCGCUUUCCACCACAGCAGCCAAGGGUUUUAAACCCAAUUAAUAAAUCAGAAUUUUAACCUAAAGUCAUUCAUUGUGACAUGACAACUAUCAAUGAUUGUUGUAAAAAACCCCUCUUCACAAUUUUUUUUAGGGAAUACAAUCUCCCAUUCUUACCUAGUCAGGUUUACUAGUGACUCCAAACCCACAGCAAUGUGGUUAAACCUUUCUGCUAUGGCCUAGCAGCAUUCUGUUUAAGGGCAGUUAGAGGUGAACUAUAAAUGUUGGUGAUAUCCAGAUGAAAGAUUUUUUAAAAAGUAUGCUAGGGAGGAAUGCAAUACAUAGUGACAUUUAUCUGCAAGAUGGAUAAAGGUGAUAAGAUAAGCUAGAGAAUUGAUUAAUUGCAUGAUCUCAAUAAUCAAAAUGGCAAAUUAUAGUUUUCUGUGUCAUGUACUAUGACUUACUUUGUAUCAAAAUGUAUAGUAAACAAAAUUGAUCUUAGGAUAAAAUAACAAAUGACUUCAGAGUUAUUUGAUGUCAAUAAUUUGAGGACUUUAAAUCAGGCUGGGAGGGUAUGAGGGUUUGCUGAAGGUUAUGAUUGGGACUUUAUACUAAAAGAAACAACUUUCAAAUACUUCUGUAGAUUUCAAAUGUUGCAAAAUGAACAUUUUUGUGAAAGAGAACAUUAAUUGAGAAAAUUAAACAAAGAACUGUGGAUGCUGGAGAUUUGAAACAAACAACAACACCAAUUGCUGGAGAAAUUCAUCAGGUCUGGCAGCAUCAGUGGACAGAAAAGUAGAGUUAAUGUUUUGAGUCAAGAAGGCACAGCAAUGCCUCUUCUUCCUCAGGAGGCUUAGGAAAUUCAGCAUGUCUGUAAGGAUCCCCACCAACCUUUACAGGUACACCUAGAAAACAGAAUAUACCUAAAUGGGUGCGUCACAGCUUGGUAUGAUAACUGCUCUGCCCAGGACCAUAAGAAACUACAGAGUUGUGAACACAGGCCAGACCAUCACAGAAGCCAACCUGCCAUGCAGUGACCCCAUUUACACUUCUGGUUGCUGUGGAAAGGCAGCUAACAUCAUCAAAAAAAACCCUCCCAUUCCAGUUAUACUCUCUUCCAACCCCUUCCAUCAGGCUGGGAUACAGAUGCUUAAACACAAGUACCAACCGGUUCAAGAACUGCUUCUUCCCUGCUGUUAUUAGACUGCUAAAUGGACCUCUCUAAUUUUAAAUCUAAUGUUAAUCUUGCUUUUGUACUCCUCCUGUGCAGCCAUACCCCUGUAUGCCUCGCUCUGUCUAAACACUCCUAUGAUCUAUUUGCCAUUGUACGUUGUGAUCUGUCUGUACUGCACAUAAAGAAAACUCUUCAAUCUACUUAGGUACAUGUGACAACAAUAAAUCACAUCAAAUCAAGAGUCCAGUGAUCCUUCUUCAGAACCGCUGAAACAUUGAUUGCCC